AAGUUACUUUAGCAACUGCCUCAAUAACUGCAUCAUAAUGCGUUAUGCUUGUUGAUACCUUGGGCGACUUGAAGAUUUGGGCGAGACUUUGGACGACCGUAUGCCACUCUAUUCGUUCAGACUCUGAGCGACUUGCAAACUUGGACGAUGGCGUUACCGCACUAUUGGGCCCCUUAUUUGGGCAUUCACCUUGAUUCGUUCAAUUGGAU
rnacentral:lncRNA from 1 species